UUAAUGUGUAAGCAAGUGCAGUUUGACGUUUUCUUUACAAAUCAGUUGUGAAUGCCUCUGAACUAAUGUAAUCACAGUGCUGUUAAAUGCCCAGUGGCCACAACACUUUUUACCAUAGUAACUGUCGUUUUACUGUGGUAUUUGUAGUUAAAACACAGUAAACACAAUACUUACCAUGUUUUUUUCCACAGUAGCUUUGGAUAAAAUAGUCUGCUAUGUAAAUUUAACAAUGUUUUUACUGCACACUAUUUGAAAAGCACAACACUAACCAUGAUUUUACUAUAAUUACUGUGUUUAUUGUGUACUCUUUGUAGUUAAAGCACAGUACACAACACUUAACAUACUUUGAAAACUGUGUUUUUACUGUGUAAUGUUACUAUUUGUAGUUAAAGCACAGUAACACAACAUUUACCAUGUUUUUACCACAGUAAUGUAGUUUUAAUGUGGUAUUUGUAGUUAAAACAUGGUAUCCACAACACUUACCUUGUUUUACCACAGUAACUGUGUUUUUACUUUGUACUAUUUGUAGUUAAAGCACAAAAACACAACAUUUACCAUGUUUUUACCACAGUAACGUAGUUUUAAUGUGGUAUUUGUAGUUAAUCACAUAACUUGUCAUGCCUUUAAUACUUUUAUGUAAAAAAAAAUGUAAUUCAAUAUUUUUUUGUCUUGCAGCUUCUUCAGAUCACAUACAUCUCCAUCUCCUACAACAACCUUUAGUGUCCAGCAGCUGUUUAUCAACAGCUCUCUCUCUCUCUCUCUCUCUCUCUCAGCUUUUCCUUGCCUAUUUUUCUGAACUGUUAUUCAUAAUUAAUUUACACAUAUUUGCUCUCUUUCUUCCUUUCUCUUUUUCAUCAUGGCGCAUUUUCAAAGCUCAGAACCGAAUUUUGAUCGGUUAUGUCAAAAAGCUGCUAAUAUUAACAGCUAAAAAGGAAGACCAAAGGAAUGCCUGUCGAACUCUUGUCUUGUCUUGUUUGUGGAGAGGGAUGAAUUUGGCCAUCUUGUGUGUUUAUGGAGAAGACCAAAAGCUGCAAAGGCAAACAUUUCCAAUGUUACGUCUGUGCUGGUCUUAACCCUUUGACUGAACUUUACGGCAGUUACAUUUUGCACAGCAUUUGAUGUUUCUUAAACUUUGGUUUACAUAUCCCACGGCCCCAUCAGGAAGAGCCCUCAACAAAGUCUUACGCUGAAGUAGUAAUAAUCCAUAGAAUUUCAGCAAAUUCAUAUGAUAUACUGUAUAUUCCUACAAAGUUCUAGGACUUUUACUCCUGCUGUCAUUGGCCUUUGCCUCAACUCUCAUGCAGAUUGUGCCCAUUGAUUUCUCACAUACUACUCCUUCAGCUCUCCACAAUAUCAGCUCUUUCAAAAGCUUCCACAUCUCUGUCUCUCUCUCUGCUCUCAUAUCUGCUCUCAGUCCUUUACUACCAACUUCCAGUCUUAGCGUGUCUAUGUGUAUUCAUUUCUCCUCUACAGUCAACACUCCCAUCUCUACUGUGAGCACUUCUGUCGCUAUCACUAUGACUUUUAUAAUUAUAAAAUUAUAAUUGUUAUCAACCAUUUUAAUUUGUCUUGCAUAUAGUCACAAUAGAAGAAACAAUGAUUACAGGAGAUACAUUUUUAGCCUAUUUGUUCAUUAAAGGGAAAAAAAAUAAUGUCUUUUCAAUUGGAGGCUCAAAACUUCCAGUUUGUAAAAUAUUAUUUGGCAUCGUAUAACGUUUUUCUGUAAACAAACUCUCUUUUUCU